rnacentral:rRNA from 1 species
AUACGUAGGGGGCGAGCGUUGUCCGGAAUGAUUGGGCGUAAAGGGCGCGUAGGCGGCCCGGUAAGUCUGGAGUGAAAGUCCUGUUUUUAAGAUGGGACUUGCUUUGGAUACUGUCGGGCUUGAGUGCAGGAGAGGUAAGUGGAAUUCCCAGGGUAGCGGUGAAAUGCGUAGAGAUUGGGAGGAACACCAGUGGCGAAGGCGACUUACUGGACUGUAACUGACGCUGAGGCGCGAAAGUGUGGGGAGCAAACAGGAUUAGAUACCCUGGUAGUCCACACUGUAAACGAUGAAUGCUAGGUGUAGGGGGUAUCGACCCCUUCUGUGCCGCAGUCAACACAAUAAGCAUUCCGCCUGGGGAGUACGGCCGCAAGGUUGAAACUCAAAUGAAUUGACGGGG